rnacentral:tRNA from 2 species
UGCUAAAAAGUUGUGUUUAAUGAUUCAUUUACAUUGAAUUGAGGGUCUCGGGCCAUUUGGCGG